CUUCCUCCAGCGCCCCGGAAGCCGGAACGACCUGUUUUCCGCCUGCUGAGGAAGGAAUUGCCACCGAGAUCGGAGACGGUAGGGGAUGUUGUUUACACGGCGUAAAGUGAGGCCGAGUUCCGGCCACCCAGCGGGGUGUAUGAGCUCUUUUAAAGGAGAACACUGUGGUUUUCAUGUUCUGAGCAUUCUGAGAUUGUGAAGGCAUAAUUCCUUUGAUUUGCUUACAGCCAAGUGGAGUUGCACAGGUCAUGGUGGCAGUAUAGCCACUUAAGUAUUCUAAAGGAGAUUUAUCAGCAGGUUGCAGGUGAACAUGGCGUUGAGACUUGCUUUUGCUUCUUGUAGAAGAUGAGAAACAUGUUUAAACAAAGGUUCUUUAUGCUGAAUAAAUAGGUUGCUUGAAGUUGGUUAUCUGCCUUAUUUAAAUUAAGUGAAUUUUGGCGUUCCCAUCAUGGCUCAGCAGAAACCAAUCUGACUAGCAUCCAUGAGGAUGCAGGUUCAGUCCCUGGCCUCAGUACGUUAAGGAUCCGGCAUUGCCAUGAGCUGUGGUGUAGGUCACAGACUCAGCUCGGAAUGGCGUGGCUGUGGCUGUGGCGUAGGCCAGUGGCCACAGCUCUGAUUGGACCCCUAGCCUGGGAACCUCUGUAUGCCGCGGGUGCGGCCCUAAAAAGACAUAAAUAAAUAAAGUAGAUUUUAAAUGUCAAAGCUAAUCCUAGACUGUUUUUCCUUCAUCAAAUAAUAUCUUAUUAAAAUCUUACAGAUGCCUAGUUUUUAUCCAUUUUAUUUAUCCAUGUUAUAUUACAUGUGAAGUAAAGCCUAUUAGAACCCUGAAUUCAUUCACCUUGCCUUGCCUUAUCUGUGAUGUCCUACUUCCUACUUGGUAGUUUUCUUUUUAAGUAGCUGAGAACAUUUUAAAAUAUAUACAUACAUAUAUUUUAAUCGUUUGUAAUUUGAACCAUCUCUGUGUUACAUUGGUUGUACCUUCCUUAUUUCAGGGUAGUGAUCCAUGUUGGGAGGGCAGAGGGGUGUAUGUGUGUGCAAUGAGCUUCAAGACUGUCAGGUUGAGUUGUGAAUUCAAGACUCUGAACUUCUGUGUAUACCAGCAGGCUGUUUUGGGUAGGAGAUAAGGUGUUUGUUGUGUCAGACUCGAAUGUACUAGGAAACUGAAAGGUUUCGAGUGAAGUUUCUCUGAUAACACAGAAUCUCAAGUGAUGAGAUCAGGGGCACAUAUGUUUAGAGACACAUCCGUGGGGCAUGACACUAAAUUAUCUGAGAAUUGCUUCAUAAUUGGAGUCACUUCCUCUGCAUCUUGACCCAUAAGCUUGAAAAUGCUGUGUGUGCAGAACUGUAAGUGGCAACCGGAAACUUGAACCCAGUACCAGAAAGGUAGCUGUUGGGCUGGGCAGUGAGGUCACAAAUUGGCACAAGAGGAGUGAGGCAGGAUGCCCAAAAGCCAUGGGCUGGAGACCACCUCUCCCGCCAGGACUCAGCUCUGCACUUGGUGGGCUGAUGUUUUCUCUUAAAAGAUUGUUAUGCAUUUGCUAUAUGUCACGCAGUCUCGUGUUUGUCAUUAAAUUUCCCAUCCUGUUAAGACAAGUAUUUUUCUAUUGUUUAAAGGGAACCAGAAGCCAAGGGAGAUAAUGUGAUUUUUCUAGGGUCAUAAGGCAAAGUAGCUGCAAAGUAGCAAACUCAAGUCUUCUGAUUGCAAAUCUGGUUCUCUGUACAUUAUAAAACAGUACCUAGAAUCAGUCGAAACUAAUGUUUUCUAUUUUUUUCCAGACCUAUCCCUCCACCCCCUGCCCCAACACACACAUAAUGAAAGCAGCACUCAUUUAUUAUUAUUUAUGUAUGAGCUGCUGUGUGACACUAGGAAGCAUGUAGUGCGUAGUGUUGCAGUUUUUUUCCCAAUCUUGCCAUCAAGCCACAGGUGCCCGUCUCUUCCUUUAUACUCCCUCCU